rnacentral:rRNA from 1 species
AGUCGAGGGGUAACAUUGUGCUUGCACAGAUGACGACCGGCGCACGGGUGCGUAACGCGUAUAGAACCUACCUUUUACAGAGGGAUAGCCUUUAGAAAUGAAGAUUAAUACCUUAUAGUAUUGAGACUUGGCAUCAAGUUUUAAUUAAAGAUUUAUCGGUAAAAGAUGGCUAUGCGUCCUAUUAGUUAGUUGGUAAGGUAACGGCUUACCAAGACAGCGAUAGGUAGGGGCCCUGAGAGGGGGAUCCCCCACACUGGUACUGAGACACGGACCAGACUCCUACGGGAGGCAGCAGUGAGGAAUAUUGGGCAAUGGAGGCAACUCUGACCCAGCCAUGCCGCGUGCAGGAAGACGGCCCUAUGGGUUGUAAACUGCUUUUAUACAGGAAGAAACACUCGUACGUGUACGAGCUUGACGGUACUGUAAGAAUAAGGACCGGCUAACUCCGUGCCAGCAGCCGCGGUAAUACGGAGGGUCCGAGCGUUAUCCGGAAUCAUUGGGUUUAAAGGGUCCGCAGGCGGUCAAUUAAGUCAGAGGUGAAAUACCAUAGCUCAACUAUGGAACUGCCUUUGAUACUGGUUGACUUGAGUCAUAUGGAAGUAGAUAGAAUGUGUAGUGUAGCGGUGAAAUGCAUAGAUAUUACACAGAAUACCGAUUGCGAAGGCAGUCUACUACGUAUGUACUGACGCUGAG